rnacentral:misc_RNA from 1 species
AACAUCGCGCACCUGCGGGAACCUGCGGAAGGAUCAUUAAUGAUUGGUGGCUGUUGCUGACUAGUGUUUCUAGUAUGUGCACGCCACACCUUCAAUCCCACUUACACCUGUGCACCUUCUGUAAUAGAUCUAUGUGGAUACGGAGAUGUGAAAGUUUGCGCUCUCCUACUCUGUUGAGGCAGUCUACUACGUUUUUUUACACACACACACACAAUAGUCAUUGAAUGUAUUUUUUAUUCU